GCGAAUGUGGCGAAAUUGGUAGACGCGCUAGGUUCAGGUCUUAGUGCCGCGAGGCAUAAGGGUUCGAGUCCCUUCAUUCGCACCA
rnacentral:tRNA from 2 species